CCAGACUCCUACGGGAGGCAGCAGUGGGGGAUAUUGCACAAUGGGGGGAACCCUGAUGCAGCGACGCCGCGUGUGGGAAGACGGUCUUCUGGAUUGUAAACCACUGUCCCCAGGGACGAAAAUGACGGUACCUGGGGAGGAAGCUCCGGCUAACUACGUGCCAGCAGCCGCGGUAAUACGUAGGGAGCAAGCGUUGUCCGGAAUUACUGGGUGUAAAGGGAGCGUAGGCGGGGAUGCAAGUUGGGUGUCAAAACUACCGGCUCAACCGAUAGUCGCACUCAAGACUGCAGCUCUUGAGUGAAGUAGAGGCAGGCGGAAUUCCUAGUGUAGCGGUGAAAUGCGUAGAUAUCAGGAGGAGCAUCGGUGGCGUAAGCGCUUUACUGGGCCGUAAUUGACACUGAGGAACGAAAGCCGGGGUAGCAAAUGGGAUUAGAGACCCCCGUAUAG
rnacentral:rRNA from 1 species